UGGGGAAUUUUGGACAAUGGGGGAAACCCUGAUCCAGCCAUCCCGCGUGUGCGAUGAAGGCCUUCGGGUUGUAAAGCACUUUUGGCAGGAAAGAAACGUCGCGGGUUAAUACCCCGCGAAACUGACGGUACCUGCAGAAUAAGCACCGGCUAACUACGUGCCAGCAGCCGCGGUAAUACGUAGGGUGCAAGCGUUAAUCGGAAUUACUGGGCGUAAAGCGUGCGCAGGCGGUUCGGAAAGAAAGAUGUGAAAUCCCAGAGCCUAACUUUGGAACUGCAUUUUUAACUACCGGGCUAGAGUGUGUCAGAGGGAGGUGGAAUUCCGCGUGUAGCAGUGAAAUGCGUAGAUAUGCGGAGGAACACCGAUGGCGAAGGCAGCCUCCUGGGAUAACACUGACGCUCAUGCACGAAAGCGUGGGGAGCAAACAGGAUUAGAUACCCUGGUAGUCCACGCCCUAAACGAUGUCAACUAGCUGUUGGGGCCUUCGGGCCUUGGUAGCGCAGCUAACGCGUGAAGUUGACCGCCUGGGGAGUACGGUCGCAAGAUU
rnacentral:rRNA from 1 species